rnacentral:rRNA from 1 species
UACGAAGGGGGCUAGCGUUGCUCGGAAUCACUGGGCGUAAAGGGUGCGUAGGCGGGUCUUUAAGUCAGGGGGGAAAUCCUGGAGCUCAACUCCAGAACUGCCUUUGAUACUGAAGAUCUUGAGUUCGGGAGAGGUGAGUGGAACUGCGAGUGUAGAGGUGAAAUUCGUAGAUAUUCGCAAGGACACCAGUGGCGAAGGCGGCUCGCUGGCCCGAUACUGACGCUGAGGCACGAAAGCGUGGGGAGCAAACAGG